AACAAGGCGUACCUGCGGACCUGCGGAAGGAUCAUUACAAGUGACCCCGGUCUAACCACCGGGAUGUUCAUAACCCUUUGUUGUCCGACUCUGUUGCCUCCGGGGCGACCCUGCCUUCGGGCGGGGGCUCCGGGUGGACACUUCAAACUCUUGCGUAACUUUGCAGUCUGAGUAAACUUAAUUAAUAAAUUAAAACUUUUAGCAAUGGAUCU
rnacentral:misc_RNA from 1 species